rnacentral:rRNA from 1 species
CCUACGGGCGGCUGCAGUGGGGAAUAUUGGACAAUGGGGGCAACCCUGAUCCAGCCAUGCCGCGUGUGUGAAGAAGGCCCUCGGGUUGUAAAGCACUUUCAGUGAGGAAGAACGCCUGGUGGUUAAUACCCAUCAGGAAAGACAUCACUCACAGAAGAAGCACCGGCUAACUCCGUGCCAGCAGCCGCGGUAAUACGGAGGGUGCGAGCGUUAAUCGGAAUUACUGGGCGUAAAGCGCGCGUAGGUGGCUUGAUAAGCCGGUUGUGAAAGCCCCGGGCUCAACCUGGGAACGGCAUCCGGAACUGUCAAGCUAGAAUGCAGGAGAGGAAGGUAGAAUUCCCGGUGUAGCGGUGAAAUGCGUAGAGAUCGGGAGGAAUACCAGUGGCGAAGGCGGCCUUCUGGACUGACACUGACACUGAGGUGCGAAAGCGUGGGUAGCAAACAGGAUUAGAUACCCCAGUAGUC